GACGAACGCUGGUGGCGUGCUUAACACAUGCAAGUCGAACGGGAUUUAGUAAACAGAAGCCUCGGUGGAAGAUUACUAAUGAGAGUGGCGAACGGGUGAGUAACGCGUGAGCAACCUGCCUAUGACAGUGGGAUAGCCUCGGGAAACCGGGAUUAAUACCGCAUAAAAUCGUAGAAACACAUGUUUUAACGGUCAAAGAUUUAUCGGUCAUAGAUGGGCUCGCGUCUGAUUAGCUAGUUGGUGAGAUAACAGCCCACCAAGGCGACGAUCAGUAGCCGGUCUGAGAGGAUGAACUGCCACAUUGGAACUGAGACACGGUCCAAACUCCUACGGGAGGCAGCAGUGGGGAAUAUUGCACAAUGGGGGAAACCCUGAUGCAGCGACGCCGCGUGAACGAAGAAGGUAUUCGUAUCGUAAAGUUCUGUCCUAUGGGAAGAUAAUGACAGUACCAUAGAAGAAAGCUCCGGCUAAAUACGUG
rnacentral:rRNA from 1 species